rnacentral:tRNA from 1 species
GGCCAGGUAGCUCAGUUGGUGAGAGCAUUGUUCUGAGACGCCAAGGUUGCGGGUUCAAUUCCUGGUCA